rnacentral:rRNA from 1 species
CAGCACCUCAAGUGGUCAGGAUGAUUAUUGGGCCUAAAGCAUCCGUAGCCGGCGCUGUAAGUUUUCGGUUAAAUCUGUACGCUCAACGUACAGGCUGCCGGGAAUACUGCAGCGCUAGGGAGUGGGAGAGGUAGACGGUACUCGGUAGGAAGGGGUAAAAUCCUUUGAUCUAUUGAUGACCACCUGUGGCGAAGGCGGUCUACCAGAACACGUCCGACGGUGAGGGAUGAAAGCUGGGGCACAAACCGGAUUAGAUACCCGAGUAGUCC